AUGUUUAUUAGCUCUGUGAUGGGAUGGGAUCUGAAGCCCUUGUGAGGCUCUCCCAUCCAACACCUAUUCCGACACGUCCUCGUCGUGAACAGUGGUAACGUGUCCCAAGUGCCACAAAUCCACUAAACGACCACUAAACGGCUUCUAAACGACUCAAGUUCUCUACCUAAACGGAAUAUAGAAAGAC
rfam:Anopheles gambiae str. PEST whole genome shotgun sequencing project, whole genome shotgun sequence.